rnacentral:rRNA from 1 species
GAUGAACGCUGGCGGCGUGCCUAAUACAUGCAAGUCGAGCGAACGGACGAGAAGCCUGCUUCUCUGAUGUUAGCGGCGGACGGGUGAGUAACACGUGGAUAACCUACCUAUAAGACUGGGAUAACUUCGGGAAACCGGAGCUAAUACCGGAUGAUAUUUUGAACCGCAUGGUUCAAAAGUGAAAGACGGUCUUGCUGUCACUUAUAGAUGGAUCCGCGCUGCAUUAGCUAGUUGGUAAGGUAACGGCUUACCAAGGCAACGAUGCAUAGCCGACCUGAGAGGGUGAUCGGCCACACUGGAACUGAGACACGGUCCAGACUCCUACGGGAGGCAGCAGUAGGGAAUCUUCCGCAAUGGGCGAAAGCCUGACGGAGCAACGCCGCGUGAGUGAUGAAGGUCUUCGGAUCGUAAAACUCUGUUAUUAGGGGAGAACAUAUGUGUAAGUAACUGUGCACAUCUUGACGGUACCUAAUCAGAAAGCCACGGCUAACUACGUG